rnacentral:lncRNA from 12 species
AAGUAAGGCAGCUUUUACCUACUUUGAGGGGCUUGCCUUGUAAAUAAGAUGCUAAACUGCUCCCACUGAUCUGUAGGCUGGUCUGUGAGGUUCCACCUGUGCUGCUGCCCAGUUUCCACAGACACUUAGGAUAGCAAAUAAUCCCAAGGCUCAUUACUGCACAUAAAUCCCUCAGCCUUCUGGGUUUCCUUCUCUGGAGCUACUGUGAAA